AGUAUUAGUUAAGAAACAAUCUAGUCUGCUAUAAUAAGAAACUCACAAUGCAAUGACUUAAAUAAGGAAGAAAUUCAUGUCAUUCUCAUGUAACAAUCUAAGGAGCCCUGGAUAUCAAGAAGCUCAGCUACGCUGGGACUGAGGCUCCUUCCUUCUUAAUAUCUGAAAUUCUGAAGGCAAUACUCUUGUCCUAAAGGAAAUGUGUAAUGUGAGGUUAACCUCAAUGUGACGUACCAAGGGCAUGUGAAAUCACAAGGAGAAAGUGCAGUAUUUACUGAGUGAGCAGCUAUUCCAGUCAAUGGACAUAAACUCGUUCAUAGCAGUGCUUUAAAAAAAAAUCCAUGACCAGUGCUCAAUGGUGCCCAGGCUGGAGUGCAGUGGCGUGAUCUCCGCCCGCUACAACCACCUCCCAGCCGCCUGCCUUGGCCUCCCAAAGUGCGAGAUUGCAGCCUCUGCCCGGCUGCCACCCCGUCUGGGAAGUGAGGAGCGUCUCCGCCUGGCCGCCCAUCGUCUGGGAUGUGAGGAGCCCCUCUGCCUGGCUGCCCAGUCUGGAAAGUGAGGAGCGUCUCUGCCCGGCCGCCAUCCCAUCUAGGAAACGAGGAGCGCCUCUUCCUGGCCGCCAUCACAUCUGGGAAGUGAGGAGCGUCUCUGCCCCGCCGCCCAUCGUCUGAGAUGUGGGGAGCACCUCUGCCCUGCCGCCCCGUCCGGGAUGUGAGGAGCGUCUCUGCCCGGCCGCCCCGUCUGAGAAGUGAGGAGACCCUCUGCCUGGCAACCGCCCCGUCCGAGAAGUGAGGGGCCCCUCCGCCCAGCAGCCACCCCGUCU